ACAACCUGCUAAUCUUCAAUUCCACACACAAACAGGAGAUUUGAAUAAAUCACAGAGCAAAACAGAGAAGAAAUUUCAUCUCAAUUAUUCGUUAAUGGCUCUCGCUGUUGCUUCUUCUUCUACUUCGAUCUCUGGCCGGACCUUCUCUCCAUCCACUCCCUCCUCUGACCUCAAAGCUCCACCAGUUGGUUAUUUUCGGGUGUUUGAUCGAGCCCACGGCCAAAUUCCAAAGCCAAGCUGUAACAUUUUCUCAAAGACGGAGCUCGGUGAAGCCCGUAAAUGCGCAGUCUAAACGGAACGAGUCAAUUGUGCCUCUUGCAGCAACCAUCGUUGCUCCUGAGGCAGUUGAGAAAGUAGAGGCAGAGGAUAUUACGCAAUUGGCUAAAGGGCUUGAGAAUGCUUCCCCUCUUGAAAUUAUGGACAAGGCCCUUGAGAAAUUCGGCAACGACAUUGCCAUUGCUUUCAGUGGAGCUGAGGAUGUUGCUUUGAUGAGUAUGCACAUUUAACGUCUGAAAUUCCGGUUGUCCAGGUCGACCCUGUUUUUGAGGGACUGGAUGGUGGGAUUGGGAGCCUGGUGAAGUGGAACCCAGUAGCAAAUGUUGAAGGUCGUGACAUAUGGGACUUCCUUCGUGCCAUGAAUGUGCCUGUGAAUUCACUGCACUCGAAGGGGUACAUCUCAAUUGGUUGUGAGCCAUGCACAAGGUCAGUCCUACCAGGGCAACAUGAAAGAGAAGGAAGGUGGUGGUGGGAGGAUGCCAAGGCUAAGGAAUGUGGUCUUCACAAAGGCAACAUUAAACAGGAAGAGGGAAACCAAUCUAAUGGUAAUGGGGCUGCACAUUCAAAUGGCACUGCCACUGAAACUGAUAUCUUUACUUCCCAAAAUUUAGUUACCUUAAGCCGGACUGGAAUAGAAAAUUUGGCAAGGCUAGAGAACCGGCACGAACCAUGGAUUGUAGUGCUCUAUGCACCAUGGUGCCAAUUCUGCCAGGCAAUGGAAGGAUCAUACAUUGAGCUGGCUGACAAAUUGGCAGGAAGUGGUGUGAAAGUAGGAAAGUUCAGAGCAGAUGGUGAGCAGAAGGAGUUUGCCCAGAACGAACUGCAGCUUGGAAGCUUCCCCACGAUACUUUUCUUCCCCAAACACUCUUCUCGGCCAAUCAAGUACCCAUCAGAGAAGAGGGAUAUUGAUUCAUUGAUGGCUUUCAUCAAUGCCCUCCGGUAACCGGACUUUUGAAAUGUUCAAAAAGAAGUCAAGGUAUUAGAGAAUCGAAGUCCCCAAGCUCCCAUUCAUCUCCAUACCUAAAGGGUGAAGUCAACAUUCGUUGGCAAACCAGCUGGAUAAAUUGCACUGAUUUUGCCAAGAGUCUGUGUUUUUGGAAAUGUAUUGAUGUUUCUCUAUGAAUAUAUCUGAAUCAUUUACUAAAUAAAUGAAAUCGUGCCUCAGGUAGAGUAAAUA